rnacentral:rRNA from 1 species
CAACCCUUGACAUGCCCGGUCGGUUUCCAGAGAUGGAUUCCUCCCAGCAAUGGGCCGGGACACAGGUGCUGCAUGGCUGUCGUCAGCUCGUGUCGUGAGAUGUUGGGUUAAGUCCCGCAACGAGCGCAACCCUCGCCCUUAGUUGCCAUCAUUUAGUUGGGCACUCUAAGGGGACUGCCGGUGAUAAGCCGGAGGAAGGUGGGGAUGACGUCAAGUCCUCAUGGCCCUUACGGGCUGGGCUACACACGUGCUACAAUGGCGGUGACAGAGGGAUGCAAAGGGGCAACCCUUCGCAAAUCUCAAAAAUCCGUCUCAGUUCGGAUUGGGGUCUGCAACUCGACCCCAUGAAGUUGGAAUCGCUAGUAAUCGCAGAUCAGCACGCUGCGGUGAAUACGUUCCCGGGCCUUGUACACACCGCCCGUCACACCAUGGGAGUUGGCUUUACCUGAAGACGGUGCGCUAACCGCAAGGAAGCAGCCGGCCACGGUAGGGUCAGCGACUGGGGUG